GAUGAACGCUAGCUACAGGCUUAACACAUGCAAGUCGAGGGGAAACGACAUCGAAAGCUUGCUUUUGAUGGGCGUCGACCGGCGCACGGGUGAGUAACGCGUAUCCAACCUGCCCACCACUUGGGGGAUAACCUUGCGAAAGUAAGACUAAUACCCAAUGACGUCUCUAGAAGACAUCUGAAAGAGAUUAAAGAUUUAUCGGUGAUGGAUGGGGAUGCGUCUGAUUAGCUUGUUGGCGGGGUAACGGCCCACCAAGGCGACGAUCAGUAGGGGUUCUGAGAGGAAGGUCCCCCACAUUGGAACUGAGACACGGUCCAAACUCCUACGGGAGGCAGCAGUGAGGAAUAUUGGUCAAUGGACGAGAGUCUGAACCAGCCAAGUAGCGUGCAGGAUGACGGCCCUAUGGGUUGUAAACUGCUUUUAUAAGGGAAUAAAGUGAGAGUCGUGACUCUUUUUGCAUGUACCUUAUGAAUAAGGACCGGCUAAUUCCGUGCCAGCAGCCGCGG
rnacentral:rRNA from 1 species